UGAGGAAUUUUCCGCAAUGGGCGAAAGCCUGACGGAGCAAUGCCGCGUGGAGGUGGAAGGCCUACGGGUCGUCAACUUCUUUUCUCGGAGAAGAAACAAUGACGGUAUCUGAGGAAUAAGCAUCGGCUAACUCUGUGCCCG
rnacentral:rRNA from 1 species